GACGAACGCUGGCGGCGUGCUUAACACAUGCAAGUCGAACGGAAAGGCCCUGCUUGCAGGGUACUCGAGUGGCGAACGGGUGAGUAACACGUGGGUGAUCUGCCCUGCACUUCGGGAUAAGCCUUGGAAACUGGGUCUAAUACCGGAUAGGAGCCAUUUUUAGUGUGAUGGGUGGAAAGUUUUUUUGGUGUAGGAUGAGCGCGCGGCCGAUCAGCUUGUUGGUGGGGUAAUGGCCUACCAAGGCGGCGACGGGUAGCCGGACUGAGAGGGUGGACGGGCACAGUGGGACUGAGAUUCGGCCCAGGCUCCUACGGGUGGGAGCAGUGGGGAAUAGUGCUAAAUGGGCGCAAGCCAAAUGCAGAGACGCCGCGGGGGGGAGAACGGCCUUCGCGUUGUAAACGUCAUUCUCUAGGGACGAAGCUUGUUGUGACGGUACCUAGAUAAGAAGCACCGGCUAACUACGUG
rnacentral:rRNA from 1 species